CAGCAGAGUCAUAUUCCAUCAGAGAAGUUGUCCUCAUAUAUUUCACAGUUGUAUCAAGCUUGGUUUCCUAAAUGAAGUUGCAAUCAAGAUAGAAAAUAAAUGAUGAAUGGAAAAUUAACUGCAGGAGAUCAAACAGGAAUCAGCAUGGGCACCUGGGGGUGUGGAGGAAAGCUUCAUUUUAAGGAGGGGAGUGCUGUUGCAGGCUGGAUUGCUGCUGUCCCCUGCCUGACUGCCUAAACCUGCAUAUCUCAAGUUUCCCAGGUCACAAGGUUAUUCAUAUUUGCUUCCAUUAUAGCCUCUGCUACGGCACUAAUGCAUCACUCCUUUUGUGUUUGCCAGGAGGAAACACAUGGCAUUAGUCUGCCUGCAGUCUACACAGACAAGGAAGGUUUCAUAUUGGAUCAGACAGUUUUUGUUGUGUUCACUCCAGCUUCAUGUUAAAUGGAAAAGAUGCAGGUGAUGCAGGUGACCUGUCUGUCAGACAGAGACUGCUCUACAAAUACCAUUUUUGAGAACCUGCACUAUUUAAUAGACCAUCUGUGUUUGGUCACUGAGGAACUUGGCACGUCCCAGGCAGCUGCAGAGGCUGGGAGCCAUGGCCCAGAGAUGAUAUGAACCUCUUCACUCUGAUACAGCAACAUGAUCCACUGAGGUAAGAGCCA
ensembl:lncRNA